rnacentral:rRNA from 1 species
GACGAACGUUGGCGGCGUGCUUAACACAUGCAAGUCGAACGGUGAGGGGACCGGUUUUUGCUGGUUCUGGAUGAGUGGCGAACGGGUGAGUAACACGUGAGUAACCUGCCCCCUUCUUCUGGAUAACCGCAUGAAAGUGUGGCUAAUACGGGAUAUUCUGCGCCUGCUGCAUGGUGGGUGUGGGAAAGAUAUUGUUUCGGUGGGGGCUGGGCUCGCGGCCUAUCAGCUUGUUGGGGGGGUGAUGGCCUACCAAGGCGGUGACGGGUAGCCGGCCUGAGAGGGUGGACGGUCACACGGGGACGGAGACACGGCCCAGACUCCUACGGGAGGCAGCAGGGGGGAAUAUUGCACAAUGGGCGCAAGCCUGAUGCAGCGACGCCGCGGGAGGGAUGGAGGCCUGCGGGUUGUAAACCUCUUUCGCCAGUGAAGCAGGCCUGUCCCUUUUGUGGGUGGGUUGACGGUAGCUGGAGAAGAAGCGCCGGCUAACUACGUG